rnacentral:lncRNA from 1 species
AGCAGCCGCCUCUCAGCCACGGGCUGCACACUGACCCGACGCGACCUUCGGUCAGGGGCCGCCAGCCUGGGCCACCUAUACAACGACAGCCUGCUCCGGGGCUUCCUGAGGAGGUGCCUGCCCCGCCGAGGUUCAACAGCUUUGGAGAGCAGGACAUCUUUUCCUCUCAGCCUGGCCCUCUGCAAUGGAGGCCAUAAAUAGGCCAGUAGUGGAAGCUACAGAACACGUGAGCAUGGCAGGGGCUGAGCUCCAUUUCAAGAUAUGGGUAAGAGGAGGGAUGCUGUUGCCUUGGAGCUGCCAGGCUGCAUGGCAGACAAGCAGGAUUCCUGCUGCCUCCCAUGGAGACUAUACUGGAACGCAGGUCUUGCCCUGUCAUCCAGGCUGGAGUGCAAUGGAUCUUGGAUCACUGCAACCUCCACCUUCCAGGCUCAAGUGAUCCUCCUGCCUCAACCUCCCAAGUAGCUGGGACUACAGUUCAAGGAAAGAAGCAAACUUAUUAUUUAAGAGCAAUGCAAAAUGAAAGCCAAGGCCAAGGACUUACUUUCCCGGAUCUGGCAUCUGAGUGCACAGCAACCGCAGAGACUGAAAACUCCUCCGAAUAGAAUGAAUGUUUGCCAUCCCCAUAAACACAACUUCACAGUUUGGGUAAUACUCUGGAGAGAGUAACAAUAAAGAGAACACAAAUACGUUGAACUUAAAGCCCACAUGGCCAAAUUUAAAAGCAAACUGGCUAUAAAACAAACCCACUGCAGCUUCUGAUUAACGAAACUGAAAUGUUUUGAAAUGCUUAACUAUUAGCCCAAUCCUUUAUAAUAAGAGGAACACACUGAAUUUUAGCUAUCUUUUCAAAAAGCGUGAAAAGGGAAGGUUAGAUUUGUAAAGAAGAUACUGACAUAAAAUAAAAGCUAUUAUUUUUUAAAAGAAA